GCUAAAACAGUUCAGUUGGGAGAGUGUUAGACCGAAGAUCUAAAGGCCCCUGGUUCAAUCCAGGCUUCAGCA
rnacentral:tRNA from 1 species